AGCCUUCUGUAUCCGUGCUGAGAUUUUAUCAGCGAUCAAUCCAUGGGGAGUGAUACGACUUCCCAAAUAAGUGAAGUU
rnacentral:pre_miRNA from 1 species